AACUAAUCAGUGACUGUCCAGUCCUUUCACAGACACUGACACAGGCAGCAAUAUGAUGAUGUUAAACUGUUUUCUGCUGGUGACGCUGGGAGUCCUUGUACAAGAAUCAAUGGCAGAUGUAGUUCUGACUCAGGAUCCAGCAGCUCGGUCUGUUCAGCUGGGAAACACUGUCUCUAUCAGCUGUACAACCAGUCAGAGCGUUUACGCUGGCGACAGCCUCUACUGGUACCUGCAGAAACCUGGUCAGGCUCCUAAACUUCUGAUUUAUGAUGCCACAACACGCCAGUCUGGGAUUCCUGAUCGUUUCAGUGGGAGUGGAUCUGGGACUCAGUUUACACUGAAAAUCACUGGAGUCCAGGCUGAAGAUGCAGGAGAUUAUUACUGUCAGAGUUACCACAGUGGCAAUGUGUUCACACAGUGA